rnacentral:lncRNA from 1 species
AAGUUUCGAUUGAUCUCAGCGACCGACCGGCAGCCUAAAAGAACAAUGUGGUUACAAGCUCAUUUUUGUCAAACACAAGCAACUCACCUCAUCAUGGGGUGGCACAACUAGAAAGGCUCUCCACUGCAAAGGCACUAAGUCUUUUUGGCAAGACAAGUACACUUGACCAUGGCCUGCAUGUCUGGAUUGCAUCCUGACUUGGGAAACUGGGUUGAACAUUAUUUCUCAUGCACCACUUGACCAACUUGUCCCUGACUUCCUCAUGGCGUAUCUGAGAAAAUGAGAUAGGACUAAAGUACAACA